rnacentral:tRNA from 1 species
GGGCGCUUAGCUCAGUGGUAGAGCACCUCGUUUACACCGAGGGGGUCAUUGGUUCGACACCAAUAGUGCCCA